CGCCCCGCAAGGGGAGCGGCAGACGGGUGAGUUACGCGUGGGAACGUACCUUUUGCUACGGAAUAACUCUGGGAAACUUGUGCUAAUACCGUAUGUGCCCGAAAGGGGAAAGAUUUAUCGGCAAAGGAUCGGCCCGCGUUGGAUUAGCUAGUUGGUGAGGUAAAGGCUCACCAAGGCGACGAUCCAUAGCUGGUCUGAGAGGAGGAUCAGCCCCACUGGGACUGAGACACGGCCCAGACUCAUACGGGAGGCAGCAGUGGGGAAUAUUGGACAAUGGGCGCAAGCCUGAUCCAGCCAUGCCGCGUGAGUGAUGAAGGCCCUAGGGUUGUAAAGCUCUUUCACCGGUGAAGAUAAUGACGGUAACCGGAGAAGAAGCCCCGGCUAACUUCGUGCCAGCAGCCGCGGUAAUACGAAGGGGGCUAGCGUUGUUCGGAUUUACUGGGCGUAAAGCGCACGUAGGCGGACUUUUAAGUCAGGGGUGAAAUCCCGGGGCUCAACCCCGGAACUGCCUUUGAUACUGGAAGUCUUGAGUAUGGUAGAGGUGAGUGGAAUUCCGAGUGUAGAGGUGAAAUUCGUAGAUAUUCGGAGGAACACCAGUGGCGAAGGCGGCUCACUGGACCAUUACUGACGCUGAGGUGCGAAAGCGUGGGGAGCAAACAGGAUUAGAUAC
rnacentral:rRNA from 2 species